rnacentral:tRNA from 1 species
GCGCUAGUGGUUGAAUGGUACAAUACAAGCUUGCCAAGUUUGUGGUGCGGGUUCGAUUCCCGCCUGGCGCA